CUUCCCCGCCGUCCCAGCUGGGCCCCCAGGGGUCGCACGCGGGGUUCCACCGAAAACCGGGCGGCACGGUGUCCCCGAAACUACGCGGGGCGGCGCGUGCGCGGCGCUAGCACAUUUUGGGGGACAAGAGGCGGUGAUGCGCACGGGGGCCCCACAGAAAUCGGGUCGGGCCGUCCCCGCGGCAGGACCCGUGACCCUGGCGAGAGCUGGAAACGCCGGUCGUGUACCGGAAGGGGCCGGGCAGGGUGGCCCGGGGCCGCAGCGCGGAGUGGUUCACGGUGCGCCGCUGCUUCCCCUGGGGUGGUCGGGCCCUGCGCCCAGUGCUUGAAGCCAAGGGCAAGGGGUGGAACUCGAGCGAGGAAAGAUUUGGGACCAGGAGUGCGGCCUCCCCUUUUGGACAAUGCUCCCAAGGCCUUAUUGGCUCAGACUUUCCUUCCUGCCCUAGUUCCCUCACCACACAGCAAGCAUCUGUGACGUCAGCGCCGGGGCUGCAGGGCCAACAAGAAGUGGUUUGUGUUGCUGUGGCCGUUCGGUUCCAGCGAGGGAGCCAAGCAAACGUGGAAGAGCAUUCUCAGUGCUGAGAGGGACUAGAAGGGAAGAACAUGGGGUUUAGACAGUGACUGGGGAAUGAAGGUGGGCAGGAGCGAAGGGGACAUUUGAACUGUCGCUCCAUACGGAUGCAACCCUGAGAGGACCUGACAGACAGUGCCAGGCAGAAGAUGACCUGGGAGCUACCUGAGUCAAUGUCACCCAUCUGGGCAAGUCCUUCAGGCAGGAGAAGCCACUGUGGAGAGCUGGCCUUCUCUGAGCAAGACUUGCCCAUUCAGCAAGCACUUUUUGGCCUCCACCGUGCUGAUGGAGUGGCAGAGAAUAAAAGAAAGAGAAGACAAUGAAGCCAAUGUAGCUGAGAAGGAGCAUUUCUGAAAUUGGAAGCUGUCCCCUACACCAAACAUGCUAAUAGAGGAAGUGAAAAUUUGGCCUGAAAACUCCAGUUUGAAGAAGG